CAGUCGCCGCGGUAAUACGAAGGGGGCUAGCGUUGCUCGGAAUGACUGGGCGUAAAGGGCGCGUAGGCGGCGGCCAAAGUCAGGCGUGAAAUUCCCGGGCUCAACCUGGGGGCUGCGUUUGAUACUUGGUUGCUUGAGUGGGGAAGAGGGUCGUGGAAUUCCCAGUGUAGAGGUGAAAUUCGUAGAUAUUGGGAAGAACACCGGUGGCGAAGGCGGCGACCUGGUCCUUUACUGACGCUGAGGCGCGAAAGCGUGGGGAGCAAACAGGAUUAGAUACCCCAGUAGUCCCUGUCUCUUAUAC
rnacentral:rRNA from 1 species